CGCAAACGUACCAGACAGGUAAACCAGUAACGUCAAAUCAUCCAUGUGCUUGACCCUCCUUAACUUUGUCUGACUCUUUUUAUACGCUUGAAAUUAUCGUGCAAAAAACAGUAUCCACCGUUUACUGUCCUAAAACAGUCGCUCCAACAUUAGAAGUCCAAACACGCUUCUGUUUGGUGUCCAAACAAGCCUGUUGGCCUGAUGCCACUCAGCAGUUACAGAUGGAAAGUGGCCACCAGACAACCACUGAAGGAAAUGAUUCAUUACCUUAACUGUGGAUUCAAGAAACACAUGACUGCAGAGAAGAGUCCCUGUUUGGAGUAGUAAGAGCCAAGGACAGCAGCAAAACUGUUGACAGCAGUGUUUGAAGUAAAUGGGAAAGCUGAGCCUUUCCAGAGUUACUGAAAGGCGGCGAGAGUGCAAGAUGGGCAAGAAGUACGAUGAUGAUGGGGCUGACCUUCUCAUCAGGGAAAAGAAGACAUCAACAGAAGGACCUGUCAGCUACAUACCAUGUGAGCAAACACACGGACAACACAUUUUUCUGAUUAUUAUUUGUUGAAAAUAAUAAUAAUUUAAAAAGAUGUCUGACUUAUAAGUCUUGCCAUGUCCUCAUUGUACUCUAAAUUACUGUAUCUUCAUAGUGGACAGAUUCUCAAAUUGUGAUUUAUAUCCAGUGCCAGACAUAGUGCAUCCUGUAUUUGCUGUAGCAAAGCUUAAACAAAGGGUGUGGAGGUUUUCGAGCUUGCAGCACAUCUAAAUCUGAUUAGAUCUUUUGGGAUCAGAGUCCCCUCCCUUCUCACUCCUUAUUACUAUUUCUGUUUUAUGUUUUUACAUUGAUAUUUCCUAAAAUGAAACACAUUUUUUAGUUGUGUAACUCUAGUUUAUUACCAGAUUGUUCUUGCUAAAUCGGACAAUAGUUAUCCUGUGCAAAUACAGUAGAAACAGGCUGAAAACAUUGGCUUUGAAUGCUACAAAUGUGUCAUAUAUGGUCUGGAGUUUUGCAGAUCUGCUGACUCAUGUUGUGUCAUGGCAAUAAAGACUUCCAGCUCUAAACAGAG